AAAUUCUUAUUUUCAAUGUCGAUCUUGCAACCUUUCGGUUACUAGUCCAACGCUCUAACCACCAUCAUGACGGGGAGACGACUGCCAUUUACUCAUUUAGUUUGAGUAGACAACCCUUUCAUGUCUCCUGCACGUCUUUAUUCAUGUGUUUGAGUAGACACGACUCUUCUACUUAUCCGUAACAUUUUUUUACAGCCUCCCUAAAUCUGACAUUCUACUCCCUCAUAAAACAUGUUUUAACGGUACCAGUGCAGCUGAUGACGUCAGUGUCCCAAGUAGAAGGAUGUUCAUGAAAAAAACAGACUUCGCUAACAGACUGACUGAACUGUGCCAAUUAUUGGAUCCAGUCCAAACACUUUAAAGACACACCCUCGUCCACUUACCCUCGCCAUAUUGGAGGGUGGGCCAAAUGAUUAGCCAAGUAAGGGAAGUUUGCAACUUCAGGUACUCAGUCCUCGUUUUUAGUCGGCUUUGUAUAAGUACUGUUAUGAAACAGGCAGGGGGCAGGUCUCAAACCAUCGACCUUCUAGCCCGCAAAAGCAUACUCAUGCGGCAGAGUCGAUAUCCACGCUUCUAAACCCAGGGUCGUUACACUAUGAUCACUCCGGGGCCUGAAAAACAACAUCAAUGGAAUAGUCAACAUACAAGCGACAAUGACCCAACAGACCUCCAAGAUGUGUAAGGGCAAUUUGACCAAGAAGGAGAGUGAUGGAGUACUGCAUCAGAUGACCUGGCCUCCAUAAGUGAGAAAGUUAGACUGAGGUUGACCAUGCGGCUCCCUCCAUGAUCGUUGAACCGUCCAUUAUUUUCACCUCGAGUCUCCCAGAGAAAGUUAAGACCGUUAGUCUGCUGCUGCUGGAGGAGGAAGAGCCUGUGGGAGGCGGAGCACGAGAGAGGCUAGCCGCUGUGGGGGACCUCUGCCCCAGAGAGCCUAGCGAGGGAGCUGAGUGCCUGUCUACUGGAUGCUUGCACCCCCCACAGGACAUGGGUUGUGAGCAGCCCUACCAAAGCUGACAGCAGUGUUAUCAGCUGGGCAUCGCCGGGUCAGAGCUACUCCAGAGGGCCUGUGGGGCCACGGCCUCUUGCUACGCCAGCAGCAAAGGCUCUGUUGUCACCUACACACAGUACAGACCCAAUAGAUGAGUUCAUCUGAUUCCUUUCUGCAGUGUGGCAGUUGUAGGAAAUUUUGUCACUAUCUAACAUAAUGUAAUUUAGAGAUGGACUUCCUGGUGCCAGUCUGGGUCUGCGUCCAAAAUGUCACACUAUUCCCUAUGUAGUGCUGGUGGGCUCUAGUCAAAAGUAGUGCCCAAUAUAGGGAAUAGGGUGCCCUUUUGGACGCCAACUAGCCAGGCUAGGUGUAAAGCCUAUAGUAAAUGAAACAAUGUUACGCCCAGGGAUUUCAGAUUCACAAUUAUUGUCUAACUAGGCAACUAUGUAUUUUAUUACCAGUGGAAGUAGAAAUGCAUACAAAUGUGCCGCAAGUGGUUAGGUAGAUAAAUGUGUGUGGUUGGUUGGUUCAUGUGGUUGUCUGUGCACUAUGAAAGCUGAUCUGUGUGGUAGCACAUCACUGAGUGACCUAAGUCCUUACCCCAAGAAAGCACUGUCUAUCAGGUCUGACUCCUGGGUCAGAAGUUAGUAUUGUACAGUCAUUAGCCUAUUUUUCUAGGAUUAACACAUUGUAUUUCAACAGUAUCUUCUAAUACUAUAACGAAACCAUGGGUUGUGUUGAGUAGACCUUGCCAAACCACUGUUUUGAAAGGACAUAUUUUGAUAAGACGAAUACUAUGGGAGCUGAUAAUUUAUUUUCUGGAAACUUUUUCGUAAAGCCGUUAGUUUCGGGGACUGUGGUUAGGAUACAUAUUUGGUAAUCUGUGUGUUCAAAUAUGGCUUAAUGACUGGAAUACAACAAAGGACUAGCGAGCUAAAAGACUCCUUGUCUGAGAUGAUACUCUGUUAAUAAUGUAUAAAGUGUGUGUUGACAUUACCAUGGAAGGCUGUUACAUUGCAAGGCUGUCUAUAACCUGGGACAAGACGAUGUUUACCAAAUUGAUCGUCUAGAGGCCGGUUUCUUAGAUUAGGCUAAACCUGGACUAAAAAGCUUGUUCAGUGGAGAAUCUCCAUUGAGAGUGCCAUUUAGUCCAGGACUAAGUGUAAUCUGUGUCUGGGAAACUGUCCCUUAAUUUAAACAUGUGAGUUGUGAAAUAUGACUGUUUUAUCAUGCAUCACUAAAGUAAUUAAUUGUAUUUUGUAAAUUACAUUUUUGACUUCUGAAUAAUUUGGGAAUAAUACUUGUAAUUUGUUUCAUUGUUCUUAAGACAUAUGUUAGUGAUUUUUAUAAACUGGGUGGUUCAUGCCCUGAAUGCU